GGUUGACAUGCUUCGAAGUACGGUAAUGGAAUAUUUAGAUUUUUUUUGUCACGAAUUGCGCUAUGCGCGCGACCCUGAUUUACCAUUUCAGAUAGUGUCUGGGACGCACAAACAAAACGCCGCUAUUCGGAUAUAACGAUGGAUUAUUUUGGACCAAACCAACAUUUGUUAUUGAAGUAGCAGUCCUGGGAGUGCAUUCUGACGAAGACAACAAAAGAAGACAGCCGUUACAGAACUACCCACCACCAAAGGACCAAGCAGCGGAGAAGAGGACAGAGGCAAGUGAGGGAG
rnacentral:lncRNA from 1 species